rnacentral:lncRNA from 1 species
CCCCAGCCACAGUGCCCAGCCUGGCCCAUCCCGUACGGUGUGGGUGUGCUCCCGCCUGCCCUUUCAAAAAUCAGAAUUUAUAGUUGGUUAGACUGGCUAAUAACACAAGUCACAGUUCCCCAAGGUGAGUUGGCUCUUUACAGCCAGCAAGAGUGGAUGCAGCUCUGCUGACUUUUG